rnacentral:hammerhead_ribozyme from 1 species
ACCCAGCUGACGAGUCCGAAAUAGGACGAAACGCGCUAACUGGAU